ensembl:snRNA U1 U1 spliceosomal RNA
GUACUCACCUGGCAGGGGAGAUCUGUGAUCACGAAAGUGGUCUUCCCAGGUCGAGGCUUGCCCUCCGCCCUCCGGAUGUGCCAACCCUGUGAUUUCCCAGAAGUGGGAAAUUCAGCGGCAUCAUUCAUGGUCAUGGGGGUUGCAUUCAUACUUUCCUCUG